rnacentral:tRNA from 1 species
GCCUGGGUGGCUCAGUCGGUUAAGCGUCCAACUUGGGCUCGGGUCAUGAUCUCGUGGUUCGUGAGUUCGAGUCCCACAUCGGGCU